rnacentral:rRNA from 1 species
UACGGGGGGGGGCAAGCGUUGUUCGGAAUUACUGGGCGUAAAGCGCGCGUAGGCGGCUUUUCAAGUCAGACGUGAAAGCCCCAGGCUUAACCUGGGAAUUGCGUUUGAUACUGUUAAGCUAGAGUGUGGAAGGGGCUACUGGAAUUCCGUGUGUAGCGGUGAAAUGCGUAGAUAUACGGAGGAACACCAGCGGCGAAGGCGGGUAGCUGGGCCGAACACUGACGCUGAUGCGCGAAAGCUAGGGUAGCAAACGGG